GUUUUCAGAAAAUCUGGAGACGAAAGGUUUGCUAGCAUUUCUUCUUCAAGUAAUCAACAAACUUCUUCGGUUGGAGUCAACCCUUAUCCAACUAUGCCACCGCUUUCCUCUCAAAUAGGGUUGCCACUUUUCUGGAUUAGAGUAGGUGUUGGGCUCUCAGCACGUUUUACAUGGGUAGCUUCAAGCUUAAA